rnacentral:lncRNA from 10 species
GCAGAAACACACAAUCAACAAGAAAUAUGAGAAGAAACAAUAUUGUUAGCACAUUGGAAGAUAAUGGCAGGAGGUCCAUGGGAGCCUGGGACCAGUCAUCAUGCCAAAGCUGAGGAAACAUGAGCAAGAAGGCAAGAAGACAAGCCUUGGGAACGAAGGAAGCCACGUGGUGCUGCAGCCAGAGGCUGCAGGGAUUUUCUCAGGGCCUCGUUGCUCACCCCAAGGCUUGUCCCAAGGCUCAGCAGGCUUGCUAAAAUAGCCUUAGGCAACAGUGGGGCCUGGGGAUGGGGAAAGGCCUCUUCCUCUUCAUUACCCCUCUCCAUCGCUCUUCCCACUCCCUGGAGCUCUUGCCUUCUCAAGUAUUCCCUGGUCAUCACCCCUGUGGUCUCUCCUUCCAAGAAAUCUUUAAGCCCUUCCAAGAAUCCAAGCCCCUGAUUCAUUCCACUCCAACCCCAAACACAUUCUAGAUAUGCAUGCACACAUAUACACACUCUUACACACACACACACACACACAGCCCACACUGGACUCUUUUUUUCCACCUUGAUACUGGUCUCACAAGGGUCAGCUCCCUGGUGUGGUGUCUGGGGUCCCUCACACAGGGAAUGCUGAGAGAUUGGCUUUCAACGGCAAACAUAUGUUAGAGUGUUUGAUGCCUUCACGUUGACAGAACAGAGAGUUAUAGGGACUUUGAAUUACGAAAGGGACUCUGGACUAGCCUGGGCAACAUAGUGAGACCCUGUCUCUACAAAAUAAACUUUUUAAAAUUAGCAUGGUGGCAUGUGCCAGUGAUCCCAGCUACUCAAGGGGCUGAGGUGGGAGGAUCCUUGAGCCUGGGAGUUUGAGGCUGUGGUGAGCUGUGAUUGCACCAGUGCUCUCCAGCCUGGGAACAGAGCGAGACCCUGUCUCAAAAAACGGAAAACAAAUAAAGAGAAGGGGUUUCUGCUAGAGAAAGAGCUGCCCACAGAGAAGUUAGUGAAAUGACAAAGGG